rnacentral:lncRNA from 1 species
CCGGUUACCUUGACUUGGAUCUCGCCAAAGUGGAGAUUGUUGAUGUGUAAGUCCCACAUCGGAGAAUACACCAAUAAUCUACAUUUCAAAUAUAACUGGUCUAAUUGCACAUAGGUCCUUUAAGUUAAAACCUCAAACCUAAAGAUCCAUUGGGUAUUUUUUCUCUUAGGUGAUUAAGAUGAGGACAAUAUCAGUGCAUGAUUUGGACAUAGUAAACUUCUAUG